rnacentral:rRNA from 1 species
AUGGCGACACCCGCCGCCACCACCUCCUCGCUCUCCCUCCUCUUCGCCCACCCCCACUUCCACCACCCCUCCACCAAGCAGCGCCUCGACAGGUCCCAUCUCCGCCUCCCGCUCCGCGCCGCCGCGCACCGCACGCGCUGCGCCACCGAGGGCGCCUCGGCGUCGACCGCCACCAAGCACCGGCGCCCCGCGGAGGAGAACAUCAGGGAGGAGGCCGCGCGCCUCCGCGGGCCCGCCACGACCUUCUCGGCGUGGUACGAGCCGUUCCCCCCGGCCUCCGAUGGCGACCCCAACGAGCGCUACUCGCUCGACGAGGUCGUCUACCGCUCCACCUCCGGCGGCCUCCUCGACGUCCGCCACGACAUGGACGCGCUCGCGCGCUUCCCGGGCUCCUACUGGCGCGACCUCUUCGACUCCCGCGUCGGCCGCACCACCUGGCCCUACGGCUCCGGCGUCUGGUCCAAGAAGGAGUUCGUGCUCCCGGAGAUCGACUCCGACCACAUCGUCUCUCUCUUCGAGGGCAACAGCAACCUCUUCUGGGCGGAGCGCCUCGGCCGCGAGCACCUCGGCGGGAUGAAUGACCUCUGGGUCAAGCAGUGCGGCAUCUCGCACACUGGCUCCUUCAAGGACCUCGGCAUGACGGCGCUCGUCAGCCAGGUCAAUCGCCUCCGCCGGGCUCCGCUCUCGCGCCCCAUCAACGGCGUGGGGUGCGCGUCCACUGGCGACACCUCCGCCGCGCUCUCGGCCUACUGUGCCGCUGCGGGCAUCCCCGCCAUCGUGUUCCUCCCCGCAGACCGCAUCUCGCUGCAGCAGCUCAUCCAGCCCAUCGCCAACGGCGCCACGGUGCUCUCGCUUGACACCGAUUUCGACGGAUGCAUGCGGCUUAUCAGGGAGGUGACAGCUGAGCUGCCCAUAUACCUCGCAAACUCACUCAACUCGCUUCGGCUGGAGGGGCAGAAGACUGCAGCCAUAGAGAUAUUGCAACAGUUCAAUUGGCAGGUGCCGGACUGGGUCAUUAUCCCAGGAGGCAAUCUGGGCAACAUUUAUGCUUUCUACAAGGGGUUUGAGAUGUGCCGUGCUCUUGGGCUAGUUGAUCGUGUUCCACGGCUUGUAUGUGCACAGGCUGCCAAUGCAAAUCCACUGUACCGGUAUUACAAGUCUGGGUGGACUGACUUCCAAUCACUUGUUGCUGGAACUACAUUUGCAUCUGCCAUACAGAUUGGUGAUCCAGUAUCUAUUGACCGUGCGGUUGUUGCGCUGAAGGCAACCGAUGGCAUUGUUGAGGAAGCUACAGAGGAGGAGCUUAUGGAUGCGACGGCUCUUGCUGACCUCACUGGGAUGUUUGCUUGCCCACAUACUGGGGUUGCACUUGCUGCCCUGUUCAAGCUCCGUGACCAGGGUAUGAUUGGCACUAAUGACCGCACGGUGGUUGUUAGUACAGCACACGGGCUAAAGUUCACACAAUCAAAGAUCGACUACCAUGAUAAGAACAUCAAGGACAUGUUGUGCCAGUAUGCCAAUCCACCGAUCAGUGUGAAGCCUGACUUUGGGUCUGUCAUGGAUGUUCUCCAGAAGAAGCUCAAUGGUGUUCUGCUGUAA